rnacentral:piRNA from 1 species
UUCCUUUGUCAUUUCUUCAAAUGGUUGUUC